AUAGCUCAGUGGUAGAGUGCUUGCCUUGCAUGCAUGAGGCCCUGAGUUUUAUUCCUCAGU
rnacentral:tRNA from 1 species